GGGCUCAUAGCUCAGACGGUUAGAGCGCACGCCUGAUAAGCGUGAGGUCGGUGGUUCGAUUCCACUUGAGCCCACCA
rnacentral:tRNA from 2 species